rnacentral:rRNA from 1 species
GACGAACGCUGGCGGCGUGCCUAAUACAUGCAAGUAGAACGCUGAAGGAGGAGCUUGCUUCUCUGGAUGAGUUGCGAACGGGUGAGUAACGCGUAGGUAACCUGCCUGGUAGCGGGGGAUAACUAUUGGAAACGAUAGCUAAUACCGCAUAAUAGUAGAUGUCGCAUGACAUUUGCUUAAAAGGUGCAAUUGCAUCACUACCAGAUGGACCUGCGUUGUAUUAGCUAGUUGGUGAGGUAACGGCUCACCAAGGCAAGGAUACAUAGCCGACCUGAGAGGGUGAUCGGCCACACUGGGACUGAGACACGGCCCAGACUCCUACGGGAGGCAGCAGUAGGGAAUCUUCGGCAAUGGACGGAAGUCUGACCGAGCAACGCCGCGUGAGUGAAGAAGGUUUUCGGAUCGUAAAGCUCUGUUGUAGAGAAGAACGAGUGUGAGAGUGGAAAGUUCACACUGUGACGGUAUCUUACCAGAAAGGGACGGCUAACUACGUG